GUAGGUGUAGUUCAGUGGUAAGAGUGCAUGCUGAGUAUGCAUGAGGUCCUGAGUUCAAUCCCCAGUGCUUCUA
rnacentral:tRNA from 1 species